UACGUAGGGUGCAAGCGUUAAUCGGAAUUACUGGGCGUAAAGCGUGCGCAGGCGGUUGUGCAAGACCGAUGUGAGAUCCCCGGGCUUAACCUGGGAAUGGCAUUGGUGACUGCACGGCUAGAGUGUGUCAGAGGGGGGUAGAAUUCCACGUGUAGCAGUGAAAUGCGUAGAGAUGUGGAGGAAUACCGAUGGCGAAGGCAGCCCCCUGGGAUAACACUGACGCUCAUGCACGAAGCGU
rnacentral:rRNA from 1 species